UACGGGAGGCAGCAGUGGGGAAUAUUGCACAAUGGGCGAAAGCCUGAUGCAGCUAUGCCGCGUGUAUGAAGAAGGCCUUAGGGUUGUAAAGUACUUUCAUCGGGGAGGAAAAACAAAACUAAUAAUUUUAUUUCUUGACGUUACCCGAAAAAGAAGCACCGGCUAACUCCGUGCCAGCAGCCGCGGUAAUACGGAGGGUGCUAGCGUUAAUCAGAAUUACUGGGCAUAAAGAGCACGUAGGUGGUUUUUUUAAGUCAGAUGUGAAAUCCCUGGGCUUAACCUAGGAACUGCAUUUUGAAACUGAAAUACUAGAGUAUCGUAGAGGGAGGUAGAAUUCUAGGUGUAGCGGUGAAAUGCGUAGAUAUCUGGAGGAAUACCUGUGGCGAAAGCGGCCUCCUAAACGAAUACUGACACUGAGGUGCGAAAGCGUGGGGAGCAAACAGGGAUUAGAUACC
rnacentral:rRNA from 1 species